rnacentral:rRNA from 1 species
UGGGGAAUAUUGGACAAUGGGCGAAAGCCUGAUCCAGCGACGCCGCGUGGAUGAUGAAGGCCUUCGGGUUGUAAAGUCCUUUCGGUAGGGAAGAUAAUGACGGUACCUACAAAAGAAGCUCCGGCUAACUUCGUG